CAACAGCCCAGAUCGUCAGCUAAGGUCCCUAAAUGUAAGUUAAGUGGUAAAGGAUGUGGGAUUGCACAGACAACCAGGAUGUUGGCUUAGAAGCAGCCACUCAUUCAAAGAGGGCGUAAUAGCUCACUGGUCGAGUGAUCCUGCGCCGAAGAUUUCCGGGGCUAAAACUUACUACCGAAGCUACGGCAUCAGUAAUGAUGGGAAGGGGAGCUUCCCAUACGGGUUGAAGCAUGACCGUAAGGACAUGUGGACAGUAUGGGAG
rnacentral:rRNA from 1 species